GCGUGUGCGUGCGCGGUCGCAGUCAAAGAUCUUAAAGCUCUGCUCUAAGAUCUUUGGUCGCAGUCGCCUUGCUGGCCAAAGAUUAUGUUGCUGGCCGUGCGACCCUUUGCCUCCAGCGUUGCUGACCAGUUUAUACACAGUGUAAAACUGCUAUAAUUAUUUUGGAAUCCUGACUAAAAUCAUUUAUCUUUAGGUGGUGCAGCAAUAGAUUCGCUGCCGUACAGCGCCGGAUACCCGGUUUGGAUCCUGACCACGGGUGCUGUCUAUAGGGGGGUUGCACGUGAGGUCACCGGGUCAGAGGGCUUGACGCACGGAGCCGCUCAAUCCAUCUGGAGGACAUCGCAGCUUCAGAUCUUGCGUUGAAUUCAGUGCCCCAGAAGUGAAGAGAAUAAAUAUUCUGGGUGACUAAUGAGAUGACGGUUAAUCUGCUGAAUCCUGAAUAGUUGAUCGUAUAAGGUGACCCAGUUUCUCCAGUUUCACUUUUUAAAAUUCCAGUGCCAAUGUUGAACACCAGUGCCAAUCUCCAGACGGCAAGAGCUGGAAAGAGCUGUUAGUCGGAGCCAGUGAUGUUAAUACUGAAAGCUUCGUUUGGUCUGAAUGUCAUCGAGAAUCUGCUGGAGCUCCUCGUCCUCAAAUCGACCUUCCAAACUUAAAUUGAAGAAAUGGACAAAAGAGGAGGGUAGAGAAAAAGGCACACAUGAAUAUAUUGUAACAUUUGCAGACCCUUGUAAAUAAAAUCCAUACAUUUCAUACGCAUAAAGCCCCAAAACCUAAAACACAUUCAGCAAAUAUCACAGACCCAACAUCAGGCCUAUUGAUUCCACACACAAUUUACUCCAUUCAAUGCCAUGUUGGAAAUCUAAGUAGAAAAUACUCGGCAUAGGGCAGCACCCAUAUCGAGGAUCUUUCAUCAGAACAAAUGAAAAGUCAUCAACAUUAAACUGUUUUCCUCUUAA